CUCGAUGACCUCCUCCAACAUGUAGCCCUCCUUCUCCCUCUGCUCCUUUUCCUCCACCUCCCGAAUAAGAGGCUUGACCUUCCGUCUUCAUCUGGGCAGCGGCCUUGGGAGGAAUUCAGUCACCAGGCGAAACUGGUCUUUUGCUACUCUGGGGCUUACAAAAUCCAGCCUUGCAGGUAAUUCUGGUUUCCAGGCUUGGAGUGAAUGACAAGAAAAGGAAAUGAAGUUAUGUUUUCCAUGAGAAAUAUGCCAAGAAGAGUUACUCUUCAACGGGGAACCUACUCCCUGUAUGCCAGAGAAUGAACUCUGCUCUCUUAAAUUACUUACCGGAUCCUGCCAACAUCUGAGUGUGACUCCCACAUUUGUUAAUGAAGUGGGUCUUAGAAGUGUCAUUCUCCUGGGAUGGACAAAAGAGCUCUUUAAAAGCAAUACAAAUUAAGAAAAGUAAAAACAUGUGCAAAUAUGAUGUAUAAAAUGUGUAGUUUUAAGCUUUCUGUGUUACCAUUAUUUCUCUAGAUAGAAAAAAAAAAUAAAACCCUAACAAUUUCUUCUAAAUGUAGAAGGAAAAGGAAAAUACGUUGAUUUUGAAGAAACAGCCAUGUGCUAUUUAUAAUGCCUUUUAAAAAGCAAGUGAGUUUCUGGA